rnacentral:rRNA from 1 species
GAUGAACGCUAGCUACAGGCUUAACACAUGCAAGUCGAGGGGCAGCAUGAACAUAGCGUGCUAUGUUUGAUGGCGACCGGCGCACGGGUGCGUAACACGUAUCCAAUCUGCCCGUUACUCGGGGAUAGCCUUCUGAAAGGAAGAUUAAUACCCGAUGGCAUUCAUUAGCGGCAUCGCUUAUGAAUUAAAGAUUUAUCGGUAACGGAUGAGGAUGCGUACGAUUAGCUUGUUGGCGGGGUAACGGCCCACCAAGGCGACGAUCGUUAGGGGUUCUGAGAGGAAGGUCCCCCACACUGGAACUGAGACACGGUCCAG